UAUUUUUAUUUUAUGUCUCUAGAUUCUAUGGGUCGUGUACAGGCCUUUUGCUGCUUCGGCCGCCCAAUCCUUCCGUCUAUCCCGGAUAUCCGCACUUCUUCCGAACCUUUGCCGCUUGAUUAAUUUCCUCGGUGUCCUUCCCAACUCGAUUUAGUCAACGUUGACGCUCGGCCUGUCUUCCACGGGAUCGCGUCUUAUUUAGGUCGCUAUGGCUAUAGCGCUCGUCUCAUUAAACUUUGCUCGGCUCGCGAAAUACCCGCCUCGCCUGUUCCAAUCAUUCGGAUACAAAACGUUUCUGAAUACCGGGACCGUUGCAAUAAUUCCAAUCGAUAGCCG